UACGUAGGGGGCUAGCGUUGUCCGGAUUUAUUGGGCGUAAAGAGCGUGUAGGCGGCCAGGUAGGUCUGGUGUGAAAACUCGAGGCUUAACCUCGAGAUGUCAUCGGAAACCAUCUGGCUAGAGUCCGGAAGAGGAGAGUGGAAUUCCUGGUGUAGCGGUGAAAUGCGCAGAUAUCAGGAAGAACACCAAUGGCGAAAGCAGCCCUCUGGGACGGUACUGACGCUGAGACGCGAAAGCGUGGGGAGCAAACAGG
rnacentral:rRNA from 1 species